CAUACCGUAAAUGAUGCUCGCUAGGUGUUUAGAUCGAUUUAUUGAUCUGAGUGCCGUAAGCUAACGCGUUAAGCGAGCCGCCUGGGUAGUAUAGUCGCAAGACUGAAACUCAAAGGGAUAGGCGGGGGAACACACAAGCAGUGGAUUGCCUCGAUUAAUUGGAUAAUAAGCCAAGAAUCUUACCCCGGCUUGACAUCUAUAGAAUCCCCCUGAAAGGGGGGAGUGCCUCGCAAGAGGAAUUAUAAGACAGGUGC
rnacentral:rRNA from 1 species